UACGAAGGGUGCAAACGUUGCUCGGAAUCAUUGGGCGUAAAGCGCACGUAGGCGGCAUUCUAAGUCGGAUGUGAAAUCCCUCGGCUUAACCGGGGAACUGCGUCUGAUACUGGAUGGCUUGAGUUUGGGAGAGGGAUGCGGAAUUCCAGGUGUAGCGGUGAAAUGCGUAGAUAUCUGGAGGAACACCGGUGGCGAAGGCGGCAUCCUGGACCAACACUGACACUGAGGAGCGAAAGCCAGGGGAGCAAACGGG
rnacentral:rRNA from 1 species